AGUCAACUGCGGUAUCCUUCUCCUCCCCAAAAUCCCAAGGAGCUUGCCAUCAGAGCAGCCCGGCCCUACCUCAGGCCGUCACUAGGAGGAGCUGAAGAACCUGUGUCGCAGCAGGGCUGGCGGGGUGGUAGCAGCCCCGGCGCUUCCAUCCACUCAGAUGGAACUGCACAAACCCCAGAGGACAGACUGCGGGUCCAGGCGGGAAAGGAAGAACAAAAUGUCCCUUUCAUCUCAGCCUCCUGCUGGGAGAGAAGCCAGACCUCUGCAGGGUUUCCUGCAGGAAGGAUUUGUGAGCGUGGCAGAUCCGUGCUGGCAGCAGGGCUGGGACAGCUGGAGCGCAUAGGAGAAGGCCCUACAGGCUGGCAGAGGGGCGAGAUAAGGACAGGGGGUGGUUGGGGGGAGAGGCUUUGUGCUGGAGCCGGGUGGGGGCGAGCAGGCUGUCUGCUUAGCGUCGUGAGCACGUCUCUGAGCUCCAGCAGCUCCUUCUCAUGAUCACAUCCAUGAGGUCUCUUCUGUCUCCACACGCUCAGCAGGUCCCCUGGGAGUGUCAUCAUUUCCACUGCUGUUCUCUUCGAUAAUUCCCAGCAAACUUUGUUCUGGAUGAGAAAAAUAGCACCUGGAGCAGUGCAGCUGGCUGCUGGGCUCUGGCUGGAGGGACUUCUGUCUUAUCUGAUCAGUAGGAGCAGAAGAGGAAAGAUGGGUCACAGAGGGCUGGAGGAUGGCAGAAGUCUUCCUCCUGCUUGCCUGGCCAUAAAAUGUCUAAAGGUCACCACAGCAGAGAGGCAGGCUGGUAAAAGUCUGAGUUUGUCUGUUUAUGAUAGGAUAAAAGGGAAGGAGAACUUGUACUGGAGAGGAAAAUAGCUUUACCUUUUGCUUUUAUAUUAGGUGUGGUCUUGUUUUUUAAAUUGUGGGUCUUAUUUAAACUAGAAAAGCUGUUGAGACCUAACAUAGAUUGCUGUAUAAGGCAAUGCAGAUGCCAAUGAGGCCACAGAGAGAAGGAACUCAGUCAAGUUGUCUGUCGUUUUGUAGGGGAUGUGCCAGCUUUGAGCAGUGUGGGGUCAGCUCCCUGACCUGCAGGCAGAGCCCUCAUCACUGCUUAAACCAAAUGCCCUCAGCUUCAGAAAGCCAAGUCCCUGCAGUUCAGAAGCAAAGCUUUAGCAAAGUGGAAAGCUUUCAGUCCUUUGUCAGCUGCCGUUGUCUCCCUGUCU
rnacentral:lncRNA from 1 species